AGGUCCCUACCAGACUAUAUUUGAAUACGGCAUACCCAUGAAUUCUGGAACUGUUAUUCCUUAACCCAGUUUGGAGGAUAAGAGCUUACCAACUAGUUAUAAAUAUGCUGAGGUGAUGUAUUGCAAAAUAGCCAACAUACAACAAUUAAAGGAUAAUUGCAGACUACAUCCUGAUGAAGAUAUGGAUGACCCUCUGUCUGGUCAACAUGAGUUUAAAUAUGGACGGGACAGUGAUGUGGCAGCUCUUCCCUGGCUCAUUCACCUCUUGCCUUUCAUUUGUGAAAGGAAGAAAGAAGAAAGAAGAAAGAGGGUCAAUGUGCAACUGAAGCUACUGAUUGUGCUGUGUGAUGAGCAUCAAUCCAUGCUUUGAGGGGGAUGAAUCAGCACAGCCCUGCCUGCACUGCGUUGGGAACAGAAGUUGCAUCCAGAAUCUUUGCAUCAUUCUGGACCAAAAAGCCAUUCCCUCCAUGAUGAAGACCACUGAUGCAGCCUUCCACUACAUCAUGAGUAAAACAACUACAGAACUAAAUACCAGGUUGGAACAUAUUUAAGAAAAAUGAAACGUCUUUUGAAUUGAAAUGUCUGUUUUGUUAUGGAAAAAUCUUUAGUAUUGUGAAGGAUAAGCAUUUCUGCCUGCCAGUAAGGUAAUUGCAGUGUAUUUUAAUGUUCAAGUUUUGAGUAGGGUGGCAAAUUUUUUUAAAACUCUCAUUUGAUGUAUUAAAGACCUUAUAAUAAGUGGUUUUCAUGUCACUGCGCUGUGGUAUAAGAUAACUUUCAUUAUU